rnacentral:pre_miRNA from 2 species
UGUGUAGAGGUGAGAAAAUUACUGUGCUAUAUAUAUCUUGGUAAAUUUCUUGCCUUUCACAAU